rnacentral:misc_RNA from 1 species
GAUGAAGAACGUAGCGAAAUGCGAAAAGUAAUGUGAAUUGCAGAAUUCAGUGAAUCAUCGAAUCUUUGAACGCACAUUGCGCCUGCUGGUAGUCCGGCGGGCACGCCUGUCCGAGCGUCAUUUCAACCCUCAAGCCCUCCUUCGGGAUGGGCCUGGUGUUGGGGCUCGGCCGCCAUCUCCGGCGGCCGUCCCCUAAAUACAGUGGCGGUCACGUCGCGACUCCUUUGCGUAGUAGAAACACCUCGCACCGGAUAGCAACGCGGUCCACGCCGUAAAACCCCCAAUUUUCAAUGGUUGACCUCGGAUCAGGUGGGAAUACCCGCUGAACUUAAGCAUAUCAAUAAGCGGAGGA